GGGCGGGUGGUGAAAUGGCAGACACACUAGCCUUAGGAGCUAGCGCCGCAAGGCAUGGGGGUUCAAGUCCCCCCUCGCCCA
rnacentral:tRNA from 1 species